rnacentral:rRNA from 1 species
CCAAUUUGGAGAGUUUGAUCCUGGCUCAGGACGAACGCUGGCGGCGUGCCUAAUACAUGCAAGUCGAGCGGAUCUUUUUCUUCGGAAAACGCUUGGUUAGCGGCGGACGGGUGAGUAACACGUGGGUAACCUGCCUGUAAGACUGGGAUAACAUCCGGAAACGGAUGCUAAUACCGGAUACGCGGUUUGGUCGCAUGACCGAAUCGGGAAAGAUGGAGCAAUCUAUCACUUACAGAUGGACCCGCGGCGCAUUAGCUAGUUGGUGAGGUAACGGCUCACCAAGGCGACGAUGCGUAGCC